rnacentral:rRNA from 1 species
CGCACGGGUGAGUAACACGUAAGUAAUCUACCCUCGGGUGGGGAAUAACGUUCGGAAACGAACGCUAAUACCGCAUAAUGCAGCGGCACCGCAAGGUGACAGUUGUUAAAGAUUUAUUGCCUGGGGAGGAGCUUGCGGCAGAUUAGCUUGUUGGUAAGGUAACGGCUUACCAAGGCUACGAUCUGUAUCCGGUCUAAGAGGACGGUCGGACACACUGACACUGAAUAACGAGUCAG